AGAACUUAGCAGAGAUGCUUUUGGGUGCCCUUCGGGGAACUCUGAGACAGGUGCUGCAUGGCUGUCGUCAGCUCGUGUUGUGAAAUGUUGGGUUAAGUCCCGCAACGAGCGCAACCCUUAUCCUUUGUUGCCAGCGGUUAGGCCGGGAACUCAAAGGAGACUGCCAGUGAUAAACUGGAGGAAGGUGGGGAUGACGUCAAGUCAUCAUGGCCCUUACGAGUAGGGCUACACACGUGCUACAAUGGCGCAUACAAAGAGAAGCGACCUCGCGAGAGCAAGCGGACCUCAUAAAGUGCGUCGUAGUCCGGAUUGGAGUCUGCAACUCGACUCCAUGAAGUCGGAAUCGCUAGUAAUCGUGGAUCAGAAUGCCACGGUGAAUACGUUCCCGGGCCUUGUACACACCGCCCGUCACACCAUGGGAGUGGGUUGCAAAAGAAGUAGGUAGCUUAACCUUCGGGAGGGCGCUUACCACUUUGUGAUUCAUGACUGGGGUGAAGUCGUAACAAGGUAGGCGUAGUGCU
rnacentral:rRNA from 1 species